rnacentral:rRNA from 1 species
UACAGAGGGGGCAAGCGUUAUUCGGAAUUAUUGGGCGUAAAGGGCGCGUAGGCGGCUUUGCAAGUGGCGGGUGAAAUCCCUCGGCUUAACCGAGGAACUGCCUGUCAAACUGCAUGGCUUGAGACCAGGAGAGGUGAGUGGAAUUCCCAGUGUAGCGGUGAAAUGCGUAGAUAUUGGGAGGAACACCAGUGGCGAAGGCGGUUCUCUGGGACGGUACUGACGCUGAGACGCGAAAGCGUGGGGAGCGAACAGG